GCAGGAGGCUGUGCCUGUGGGAGGGAAGUGGGUGGGUCAGGGGCUGCGGGCGUCCCAGGUCUGCACUGCUCCCAGCCCGCCUCCUCCCUCUGCAGGUACGGCGGCUGGUUGGUAUCGCCUCCCUCUCCACCCCGACUCCCGCUUCUGUGUCUCUUAGUGUCUCUUUUUCUCCCCUUUUCUGAAUAUUUGUCCCCCCGUCUCUGCCCUUACUCCUCUGAGGCUCUGGCCCCUCCUUACUCUGCGCUCCCUCUGGUUCUCUGUCCCAUUGUUCUCUGUAUCUGUCCCCCUCCUUCUGAGUCUUGCCCCUCUUCUCUCUAAGCCUCAGUCUCCUCUCCCCUGACUGUGUCUCGAUCUCCCCACCCCCAGUCUCAUCUUGACCUCUGGACCUUUUUCUCGGAUUUGCCUCUCUCUGGGUCUCUGUUCCCUCCAGUCUCUGUCCCUCCUCUUUGUGUCUCUGUCCUCCACUCCCCCCCCACCCCGCCAUCCCAGGGCAUCCCAGGCUCCCUCCUCUCUCUGGUCUCUGCCCAUCCAUCUGGGUCUCCGUCCCCCUAGCUCUUGUUCUUUUACUACCUCCUUCCCCGUGUCUUUUUCCCCUCCUCCGUCUCUUUUCCCCCUCUGUCACUGCUUUUUCUCUUUCUGUCCUUUUUCUUUCUUUCCCUUCCCUGGGCCUCUAUCCCCCACCCCCACCCCGUGCCUCUUUCACCCCUUUCUGAAUCCCUGUCCCCCUUUUUCUGGGUCUCUGUCCCCACUUCUUUGGGGCUCUGUCCUGCUGUCCUUCAGUCUCUGUCCCUCCCUCUGGAUUUCUGUCCCUUUCUCUCAGGCUCUCACCGCAUCACCGUCUCUAAUCCUCAACCUGGCCAGGACUCGAGGCUGCGUCACUGCAGAGAGUUGCAGAAGUGGGGCCCGUCCUGCGGACCAGGGAGGUAGUUUACCUCAACUCCCCCCACUGCCCCCUGAUCCACUGUUCUCAGGCAGUCCUCAAGCCCCCGUGGGACCCAGGAGGGUAGAGAAAAGACAUCGGGGCUUCCUACUCUGCUCUGCCCCGGAUUCUGGUGUAUCCCCAGGCAGAAGCAGUGAAUCCUGAGAGAGCCGGACACUAACUUUUUUCUGAAAAAAAUCACGCGCUUAAAAAAAAAAGGGGGGCUUCCCUGGUGGCGCAGUGGUUGAGAGUCCGCCUGCCGAUGCAAGGGACACGGGUUCGUGCCCCGGUCAGGGAAGAUCCCACAUGCCGCGGAGCGGCUGGGCCCGUGAGCCAUGGCGGCUGAGCCUGCGCGUCCGGAGCCUGUGCUCCGCAACGGGAGAGGCCACAACAGUGAGAGGCCCGCGUACCGCAAAAAAAAAAAAAAAAAAAAAAAAAAAGGAAGAGA